rnacentral:rRNA from 1 species
AACGAACGCUGGCGGCAGGCCUAACACAUGCAAGUCGAGCGAGGACUUCGGUUCUAGCGGCGGACGGGUGAGUAACGCGUGGGAAUGUGCCCUUCUCUACGGAAUAGCCCUGGGAAACUGGGAGUAAUACCGUAUACGCCCUAUUGGGGAAAGAUUUAUCGGAGAAGGAUCAGCCCGCGUUGGAUUAGGUAGUUGGUGGGGUAAUGGCCUACCAAGCCGACGAUCCAUAGCUGGUUUGAGAGGAUGAUCGGCCACACUGGGACUGAGACACGGCCCAGACUCCUACGGGAGGCAGCAGUGGGGAAUCUUAGACAAUGGGGGCAACCCUGAUCUAGCCAUGCCGCGUGAGUGAUGAAGGCCUUAGGGUUGUAAAGCUCUUUCAGCUGGGAAGAUAAUGACGGUACCAGCAGAAGAAGCCCCGGCUAACUCCGUG